rnacentral:rRNA from 1 species
CCCGCUGAACUUAAGCAUAUCAAUAAGCGGAGGAAAAGAAACCAACAGGGAUUGCCUUAGUAACGGCGAGUGAAGCGGCAAAAGCUCAAAUUUGAAAUCUGGCAGUAAUGUCCGAGUUGUAAUUUGAAGAAGGUAACUUUGGUGAUAGCUCUUGCAUAUGUUCCUUGGAACAGGACGUCAUAGAGGGUGAGAAUCCCGUAUAUGGUGAGAUGACAUAUUACUAUGUAAAGUGCCUUCGAAGAGUCGAGUUGUUUGGGAAUGCAGCUCAAAAUGGGUGGUAAAUUCCAUCUAAAGCUAAAUACAGGCGAGAGACCGAUAGCGAACAAGUACCGUGAGGGAAAGAUGAAAAGAACUUUGGAAAGAGAGUUAAACAGUAUGUGAAAUUGCUGAAAGGGAAACGCUUGAUGUCAGUCACGUUGGCUAGGGAUCAACCUUGCUUCUCGCUGGGUGUAUUUCCUAGUGGACGGGUCAGCAUCAGUUUCGGUCGCUGUACAAGGGCAAAGGGAACGUGGCACUCCUUGGAGUGUGUUAUAGCCUUUCGUCGUAUGCAGUGGUUGGGACUGAGGAACUCGGCACGAAAUCUAUUUUGUGCUUAGGAUGCUGGCAUAAUGGCCUUAAGCGACCCGUCUUGAAACACGG